GUGACAUCAUCCCAUAUAUGGACUCUCCAGCCCAGCCCUCCCCCUUUUCCUGGUCCUAAAUUCAUUGCCAGUUCCCUAGUCUGCAGCAAAUGUGCCACGUCAAGACUGGAAAUCACAGCCCUUGAGUUUUGCACGCUAGGGAUCAAGAAGCACUCAGGGACACUGCUGAGAAAGAACCACUGGAGGGAAAAGCUGCGGGUAAGGCCUUCGUGACUGCUCACCUGGUCUGUGACCAUGGGAACCGAGGGACCAUGGAAUCUAUUCCAGAGGAAACUAUUCAACAGUGAGCAUCUUCAACUAAAACUGUCCUGGAUAGAAUGGUUGCAUGCAUCAUUCCUUUAAUUGAGCACAGUAAACUGGAUCAAUUUAUGAGAGAGUGAGGGAAAGUUAUACAAAAUAUAGUAACUUUUAAUUUCAGUAACUUUUAAUUUCUACCAGUAUAUUCUUUGUAAGUGAAUCAUUCAUUCUUUUCUGUUGCACUGAAUGUAGCAAUAAUACCUAAAUAGUAGUUUCAGGUAUUUAUUCUUUGCAUAAUCAAAUCUUGCAAUUAUUUAUAUAGCAGUCAAGUUUACUAAGUUUUUUUUUUUUAAUUCUGUGAAGGAAAAAAGUUUUCUACUCUUAGGCAAUGAACAGAAACAAAAUUAUUUACUUUUUGAAAUUAAAUCCAUAAAAAUUUCACUGAUCAAUUCUUUGUCAAAACUUUAUUAUAUCUAGUCGCUGCAUGAAAGUUCAGAUUUAUAAAGCUGUCAUUUUUCUGUCCCUAAAAGUUAUUUUGCUCUCUACUAGGUUGCUUUACUAUUUUCUUAAAACUUUAUUAAUAUAACUAAAGAUUUAAAAAGAUACCUAUUUGUUACUUUAUAGAGAUCUUUGAAAAAUUCCAAAUAUAAACUCCUUGGACAAGAAGUCUCACUCACUGGAAUUUUGUCUCUAAGGCUAUCUUGUUUUUAAAAGGGAGAUACAAGUUUUUAAAUACCUUUACAUGUGUGAAUUGAUAAUUUAUAUUUAAAAAUAGCCAAAAUCCUUCUUGACACCCCAGAAUCGCAUUUUAUAUCUAUAUGUGGUACUUUAUUCUUUAAGAAAAUUUUCCAAAGUCUGCAUUUAAAUUUUUUGAUAUGAAAUAAGUUUUUCUUUUCAGUGUUUAAGGUUCUAGUUUGUAACGAUAUAUACACAAAUAAUGCCUAAACACAUUGUGAGCAUCAGUGCUUGGGACAACAUUCCAAUUCACAUCCCUUGCUUCCUUCCAUGACCCUGUAAGUUAAGUACGUGGUGGAAAACUUAAGCUCACAACUGCCUUUUAUUUGAUUUUCACACCCAUACUUAGGAACUGUACAUUUAAAAGGAAAAUCAAAGGUUUAAAUGAAUUUCUGUUGAAAUAUAAAAUCCCCCAUCAAAGCAUCAGAAACCUAAGUCCAUUGGUUCAGUUUCCAAAUACAUGAGGCUCAUUAAUUAUUUUGAAAAUGGCUGCUGUUACCAUGUAAAUGACAAUUUUCUUUUUCGUGAGCAAGAUUAUAGUUCUUAUCUACUGCAAGAAACAUGUAUAAACAUAGUCGUUAUCUUUAGCUUCAGUAUUAAAAUAUGCAGAGUUUUUGCAAAGAGGAAAAACAUCUGGUUCAAUUACUCUGAACUCUGACUGCAUGUGGGCCAGUCAUACUAGGAACUGAAUUGGAGAAAAAAGCCUUGUGUUUAAACUUUUUCCUUCCUUAAAAUUUUAAUGUGUUUUCUGUCAUGCCAAAUAUCCAUGUUAGCACACUGGAAAACAAAUGUAUAAGUGUACUUUCUGAAUAAAGUCAAACAUCUAACUUGU